AAAAAAUCAGAAUCUAUCGACUCCGACUCUUCUUUCCCUCCAUCGAAGAGCGAUUAGGUUUCGCCGUCGACACCUUCUUUCUCCGACAUGUCUUAGUUUGUUGGAGACCUUUAACUCAUCGUCACAUCUCUCCUUCAUCCUCCUUCUUUCGUAUCUCCUCUUUAAACACCACCAAUUAGAAUAACUUUGUAAUCUCCGCCGGCUACAAUUGGAGUUGUUCAAGCUCGGACAAGCUUCUUGUCGCCGGUUGAUAAAGGACGAUUAGCAUCACAUUGUUCUUCGUUUGCUCUUAAUUCAUCUUGGUUCCCAAAACUUGGAGUUUAGGGUUUUGAAAUCCCCUUUAGAUUUUUUUUUUUUUGUUCAUAAUUUGUUUAUUUGCAUGUACUAGGAAGAUAUUUGAAUUGUUAAAAUACAAAUCGAUUCAUGUUUAUGGUUUCAAUUUUUUUUGGAAGACUAUCUAGUUUAAAGGUUUAAUCUUUAAACAUGAACUUGAUUUCUCUCUGAUGGGUUUAACACAGUAUUUGUCUUGGGUGUUGUUGUAGAUUGAUAAGCUUAAAGCUGGAGUACUAGUUGGGACUGGUAUGGGUCAUAGGAGAAUAACUCCAUUCUUAUUCCUUAUCCUAUUACAAGCUGGAGUUCUGGUGAUGGAAAGCUUGGAACAUUGUGAUGAAACACGAUGUUCGAAUUGUAGGAGAACUUUCCCUAUGGUGAACAAGCAGUGGAGAAAGUAUAGGCUCUUGAUUUUUUUGUCCUUUUGAUUGGAUCUUAUUUGUGUAUCUUCUGUAAGCAGAUCAAAAGAAAAUGUAACAUUUGAAGUGAAGUAAUUUUUGCUGAUCCAUCAUUAAAAAA